rnacentral:misc_RNA from 1 species
UCCUCGUUUAAGCGAGGCAGUCUGUCCAGAGUGCUCUUUACUCUCGUAAAGGUGGCAACAGGACACAAGGGUUGCGCUCGUUGCGGGACUUAACCCAACAUCUCACGACACGAGCUGACGACAGCCAUGCAGCACCUGUGUAAGCUGGUAUUGCUACCUCGUCACUCUUUCAAGCUUCUACUACCUACAUGUCAAGGCCAGGUAAGGUUCUUCGCGUUGCAUCGAAUUAAGCCACAUACUCCACCGCUUGUGCAGGCCCCCGUCAAUUUCUUUGAGUUUUAAUCUUGCGACCGUACUUCCCAGGCGGCACAUUUAGCGCGUUAGCUUCGCCACAAAAGGGGUCGAUUCCUCUUACAGCAAAUGUGCACCGUUUACGGCUAGGACUAC